rnacentral:rRNA from 1 species
GACGAACGCUGGCGGCGUGCUUAACACAUGCAAGUCGAACGAAGUGGCGAACGGGUGAGUAACGCGUAAUCAACCUGCCCUUCAUUGGGGUACAACAUUUGGAAACGACUGCUAAUACCGUCUACUGAGGGAGGGAUUUUCGUCUGAUGAGCUAGUUGGAGGGUUAACGGCCCACCAAGGCGAUGAUCAGUAGCCGGUCUGAGAGGAUGGACGGCCACAUUGGGACUGAGACACGGCCCAGACUCCUACGGGAGGCAGCAGUGGGGAAUCUUCCGCAAUGGACGAAAGUCUGACGGAGCAACGCCGCGUGAUGGAUGACGGCCUUCGGGUUGUAAAGCUCUGUUAAUCGGGACGCGGUACCGGAAUAGAAAGCCACGGCUAACUACGUGCCAGCAGCCGCGGUAAUAC